rnacentral:rRNA from 1 species
GAUGAACGCUGGCGGCGUGCCUAAUACAUGCAAGCCGAGCGAACAGACGAGGAGCUUGCUCCUCUGACGUUAGCGGCGGACGGGUGAGUAACACGUGGAUAACCUACCUAUAAGACUGGGAUAACUUCGGGAAACCGGAGCUAAUACCGGAUAAUAUAUUGAACCGCAUGGUUCAAUAGUGAAAGACGGUUUUGCUGUCACUUAUAGAUGGAUCCGCGCCGCAUUAGCUAGUUGGUAAGGUAACAGCUUACCAAGGCAACGAUGCGUAGCCGACCUGAGAGGGUGAUCGGCCACACUGGAACUGAGACACGGUCCAGACUCCUACGGGAGGCAGCAGUAGGGAAUCUUCCGCAAUGGGCGAAAGCCUGACGGAGCAACGCCGCGUGAGUGAUGAAGGUCUUCGGAUCGUAAAACUCUGUUAUUAGGGAAGAACAAAUGUGUAAGUAACUAUGCACGUCUUGACGGUACCUAAUCAGAAAGCCACGGCUAACUACGUG